AUGAAGCAGCCGAUGGUUACAGCAGUGCUGGUAGCACUGGUGCAGGUUUCUCAGGGCUUCCCUGCCUUGUACCACCGAGGCUGGUGGCGGCUGUUAAAGGACGGGGACAGCUGUGGGAAGUGCGAUUUGUUGCUUUGCCCUGAGCCUAAAGACUGUCCAGCCGGGACCGUCCUGGACCGCUGCAGCUGCUGUCCUGAAUGUGGAAACGUGGAAGGCCAGAUCUGCGACUUGGACCAGGGCAAUCAUUUUUAUGGGCAAUGUGGGGACAACCUCGAGUGCAGGCUGGAUGCUGAUGAAGCAAGAUUUGGGGAAGUCCUUGAACCCCAAUGUGUGUGCAAGUCUCAAGAGAGCAUCUGCGGACCUGAAGGGAAAACCUAUGAGAACAUCUGUCAAUUCAACAAGGCUUAUGCUACAAAAAGAAACACCAGCAUGAAGCAUAAAGGACCGUGUGAAUCAGGUAACAUGUGCAGAGGUUCCUCCAAAAAGAAAAAAGAUCUGAUUCUUAUUUUCUGA